rnacentral:rRNA from 1 species
AUUGAACGCUGGCGGCAUGCCUUACACAUGCAAGUCGAACGGCAGCGGACCUUCGGGUGCCGGCGAGUGGCGAACGGGUGAGUAAUAUAUCGGAACGUACCUUUCAGUGGGGGAUAACGUAGCGAAAGUUACGCUAAUACCGCAUAUUCUGUGAGCAGGAAAGCAGGGGAUCGCAAGACCUUGCGCUGAUUGAGCGGCCGAUAUCAGAUUAGCUAGUUGGUGAGGUAAAGGCUCACCAAGGCGACGAUCUGUAGCGGGUCUGAGAGGAUGAUCCGCCACACUGGAACUGAGACACGGUCCAGACUCCUACGGGAGGCAGCAGUGGGGAAUUUUGGACAAUGGGCGCAAGCCUGAUCCAGCCAUGCCGCGUGAGUGAAGAAGGCCUGGUGUAAGA